rnacentral:rRNA from 1 species
UACGUAGGGUGCAAGCGUUGUCCGGAAUUAUUGGGCGUAAAGAGCUCGUAGGCGGUUUGUCGCGUCGGCUGUGAAAGCUCGGGGCUCAACCCCGAGCCUGCAGUCGAUACGGGCAGACUAGAGUGCUGUAGGGGAGACUGGAAUUCCUGGUGUAGCGGUGAAAUGCGCAGAUAUCAGGAGGAACACCGGUGGCGAAGGCGGGUCUCUGGGCAGUAACUGACGCUGAGGAGCGAAAGCGUGGGGAGCGAACAGG